rnacentral:rRNA from 1 species
GGAAGGGGUGUAUUUAUUAGAUAAAAAACCAACGCCCUUCGGGGCUCCUUGGUGAAUCAUAAUAACUUAACGAAUCGCAUGGCCUUGCGCCGGCGAUGGUUCAUUCAAAUUUCUGCCCUAUCAACUUUCGAUGGUAGGAUAGUGGCCUACCAUGGUGGCAACGGGUAACGGGGAAUUAGGGUUCGAUUCCGGAGAGGGAGCCUGAGANACGGCUACCACAUCCAAGGAAGGCAGCAGGCGCGCAAAUUACCCAAUCCCGAUACGGGGAGGUAGUGACAAUAAGUACUGAUACGGGGCUCUUUUGGGUCUCGUAAUUGGAAUGAGAACAAUUUAAAUCCCUUAACGAGGAACAAUUGGAGGGCAAGUCUGGUGCCAGCAGCCGCGGUAAUUCCAGCUCCAAUAGCGUAUAUUAAAGUUGUUGCAGUUAAAAAGCUCGUAGUUGAACCUUGGGUCUGGCUGGUCGGUCCGCCUCACCGCGAGUACUGAUCCGGCUGGACCUUUCCUUCUGGGGAACCUCAUGACCUUCACUGGCUGUGGGGGGAACCAGGACUUUUAC